AAUAGAUUCAGUCAAUUAUCACUUACUAAUAACAGUAGGGCCUGAUGGAUGACUUUAAUAUAUUUCAGUUUUCUACUGAUCACAUAAUUCUUAUAAUUCAGUUUGUUUCAUAUUAUAAUCUAUUUUAGCCCCUGGAUGUUAUGUAAAUACUUAAUUUUUGAGUCUUGUGAGGUUUUAGCCAGCCCAGCCCUGCUCUUGGAAUUGUAAAAUAAGAAGCAGGUUGAAUUCUGUUCCACUUCACAUUUCUUUUAUCUGUAUCCCUCCUACCUUCUUUUUUAUACCUUCUCUUUUUCUCCUUUACAAAGACAAUUUCAUUUCUUCUGGGCCCAGGUCUUUGCUAGGUAAUAAUAUAUACGUCUAUUAGGUCUCACAAUCUGAUGAUCUCUGUACUAAAUUGGUUAGCAAAAGCUGGGGGAACAUUGCCCAGGUCGAAAGGAGAGACCAUCCAGUUGUGUGAUAAAUCUUCUGUACCAGAGGUUUUAUCUCUCUCUGCCUGGACUGCACUCAGCUCUCCCCAUUUUAUCUAUGUGCUUACCACUCUUAGCCUUAGAACUCUAGUGUGACCUGGACAACUAGUGCCUGGGCUUGGUUAUUCUGGAGGUGAGGCUUCCAUAGCAGGUCCCAGCACCCCAGGAACAUCUCUGUUUCAUGUGAUCUCCAAUUUCCCAUGUCCUAUAUCCAAUAGUUAUGUAAUUGAAAAUUGCUCUAUUCCAUUUCUAAAACCUCUGUAUUUACAAUGAAUUGUCUUCUAGGUUCUUUAUUAUGUCUUAGGGUUGCUACUAUUUGUAUAGAUCAUUUGCAAAGAAGAGAAGAUUGACAUGCCCUGAUUCUACCCUUCUAAGGCUAACAGCUCCUGUCAGUUUCCCAGGUAACUUCUUUCCUUAAAAGGGAGUGUUCUUGAAAGAAUCUAAUAAUGAUGGUUUAUAAUGUCAAAAUAUCUUAAAUUUUCUAUUCUUUUCAGACCAUUAAAUGUAAAGCCAGG
rnacentral:lncRNA from 1 species